UACGGAGGGAGCUAGCGUUAUUCGGAAUUACUGGGCGUAAAGCGCACGUAGGCGGCUUUGUAAGUUAGAGGUGAAAGCCUGGAGCUCAACUCCAGAAUUGCCUUUAAGACUGCAUCGCUUGAAUCCAGGAGAGGUGAGUGGAAUUCCGAGUGUAGAGGUGAAAUUCGUAGAUAUUCGGAAGAACACCAGUGGCGAAGGCGGCUCACUGGACUGGUAGUGACGCUGAGGUGCGAAAGCGUGGGGAG
rnacentral:rRNA from 1 species